AGAACUACUUGAGUGUGAAGCAGGUGACUAAAUAUAUCUCUGAUGAACCAUGGGGUUGGUACCAAUCUCCUUCAAAGCAUAUGAGAGAUUAGAGAACAAGCCAGUUCUGUGGACUUAUGAGCAUUUCGAAGUCUUUCUAAAAAUUUAAUCCAGUACAUGUCGAGUUUAUUACACAGUAUCCAUUUAUUCCCAUUAUUCUGGCACAUACGCAACUAUUUUUAGUUCUCACAAGGAUCUCUUAC
rnacentral:misc_RNA from 1 species